rnacentral:miRNA from 1 species
UAGAUUGUUUUAUAUGUGG